rnacentral:rRNA from 1 species
GACGAACGCUGGCGGCGUGCUUAACACAUGCAAGUCGAACGGAAAGGCCCUGCUUGCAGGGUACUCGAGUGGCGAACGGGUGAGUAACACGUGGGUGAUCUGCCCUGCACUUCGGGAUAAGCUUGGGAAACUGGGUCUAAUACCGGAUAGGAACCAUCUUUAGUGUGGUGGUUGGAAAGUUUUUUCGGUGUAGGAUGAGCUCGCGGCCUAUCAGCUUGUUGGUGGGGUAAUGGCCUACCAAGGCGGCGACGGGUAGCCGGCCUGAGAGGGUGUACGGCCACAUUGGGACUGAGAUACGGCCCAGACUCCUACGGGAGGCAGCAGUGGGGAAUAUUGCACAAUGGGCGCAAGCCUGAUGCAGCGACGCCGCGUGGGUGAUGAAGGCCUUCGGGUUGUAAACUCCUUUCGCUAGGGACGAAGCUUUGUUGUGACGGUACCUAGAGAAGAAGCACCGGCUAACUACGUG